GAUUCUGUGUAAAAGGAUCAGCAUGAGCAAAGGCAUAGACAUAUGAACACUGUGAGGUACAUCUGGGAAAAUCUGAGACUCCUUAUUAUAGCAUAAGUGUAGUUGGUGGUAAGGCUAGGCAGGCAAGGGAGAGCCUAGGCCUUGAAUGCUCAGUCAAAGAUUUUAGACUAGAUUCUGUAGGUAACAGGGAAUUAUUUGUGUCUUGCUUGGUAUGUGUGAGGUCCUGGGUUCAAUCUUGGUGGGGAAAGGUGUGUUUCAGAAGGAACUUCAAAGCCUACCCUGUGCCUGAGCCUCAGGGAAGUUGUUACUCUGUUGCUCAGAGAGGUCUAGAGAUUUGCCCAACUGAAACAGCAAACUCAAGACAAGUGUCAGUCUCCCAGCCCUAAAUCUGCUCACCCUCUUCCACCUGCAGCCUCUGGAAGUCACUAAGCAGGAGAAGGGUGAGGAAACCCCCACCCCCACCCCCAUUUGUGGAGCACCUAAGAUUGCCACCCACUGUGCGUGGCCUUGUGGGUGGGGGCCAAUAAGAGCUGUCUGGAAGGAGCUUGAAGUCCCGGUGCCCCAUCUGCUUAACUCCAGAAAUCCUCCCAAGAGUCAUGUCCCCUGGUGCCCGCCCCGAAAGAGGCUGAAGAAUACAAAGGGCCGGGGCUUCCGGCCUGGCUGCCGGCGGCGUAUUCGGUUUCCCUCAUUUGUCUGUUCUGACCUGUUGGAGCAAAGGGCAGCCAUCGGAGGUGUCUGGGAUGAGGCUCUGGCCGCCGCCGGGUUAAUGGGUCGCUGGGGACUCAGGGCCUUUCGUCCAUCCUUCAUGCACUUCGUUGACACAGAUCUCUGAGAGGCCCUGAAGACUGCUGAUCUGCCUGAGUGCUAGCCUGGGGCCAUUGCCCAGCAUCCCUAUCUACACCUGUGACCUGCAGUCGGCUGCCGCCACCUCUGGCCCCCUGACUCAUUGCAGGUACUGGCUCUUAGUUCGGGGCUCCAUGACCUAGGCAGCUGCUCUGACAUACCUGAGUAAGGCAGCCCAUCACUUUCUGGAAGCUUCCACCCAGGGUGAACUCUUCCUUAGCCCUUACUAAGCAGAUUCUUCCGCCCAUCAGCCCCUUGUGUUCCUCAGGGGAGCGCCAGUAACAAAGCCCUCUAGGUGACAACAGCCUGCAGCACACCUUCAAGAGACCCAUCUGGCACUUCGGGAGAGGGGCUCCAGUGUUUCUGCUCAUGGCUAUCAAGCUGGACAGCUUGUCUGGGACUCUCCAGUGCCAGUCUGAGGCACCUGGCCACUGGCCAGGUUUUCCUGGUUUGUCCCUGGGGUGCUGGCACCUGCAGGCGCCCACUAUGGGCAGGAAUAGAUGGCCAAGAUGGGAAAAACAGGAGCUGGUGGUGUUGGGGCAGGCUACCUGCGGUCACUUGGGCUUCAGUUAGGCCUGGGCAGGCCAAGGGGCACAGCUGGGGCAGGAGGGGAGGCCUGGUCCUGGAUGUGACCUAGUACAGGAAAGGGGCCGGGGCCUGGCAGCUGACCCUGGGUCGCCCAGAGUCAGAGAGGCACUGACUUGACAUCAGCAGUGCCCUGGAGUGACAUUUGGUCUUCAAGCCAUGGUUUUGGGUUCUCAUGACACAGCAUGGGAAGCUGGGAGGAGCCAAAGUUCCCCUCCCCCACCACCUCUGUCUGCCUGGGUCCCUCCCAGCUGCCUGACUGGAAACAAAGCCAAGUCAACAAACAGUUCCUCGAAUUGUGUUCCAGCUGAGGCUGUUCCAGCCUAGGCCUCCAGGCUCCAGAGCUAAUAAUAUUGGCAGAUGUAGGUCAUGAAAUUUGAUCUUCUGGGAUGUGAUCCCACCUCGCUGGGGAAGUGAACUGGUGCAGUCUGGACUCAGGGUCCUGAAGACUGACUCUUGGGCUUGGGAUCCUGGGCUGAGGACCCUUCCCACCCUAGGUUAGCUGCAGUCAGGCUAGGGUCCAGGAGUCUGGACACCUGUUAACUCAGUGACUGACAGAGGCUGACAGACUGGAUGGUUAAUGAGAAGGCCUGUGCGAGGAUAAUGGUAAUUUUGAAGUUUUACAGACAGUACCACAAGUGCUUUCUGUUCUAGGUAAGGCUGGACCUUGACCUCUGUCUGGACUUUCAUCCAGUUCUUCAGUGCCAACCAGAGAGUGCACCAAGGAAAGCUGAGAUACUUCUAGAACGCACUGGCCACUCAAGACAGGCAGGAUCAGAGAAGCUCAGCUCAGGAUCUUCUAUUUCUGGUGAAGUUUUUUCUUUUGCCCAAGACCACUAUGUGAGACCAGUUUGAUAAUUAUAGACUGGGGACCUAGCCUACAAAUUGUUCCCUGGCUGUGCUUGUUUGUCCUUUCCUGCCUGCAGGCCUCUGUCACAGUGUUCCCUCUGGCUGCAUUGCCCCCCUCCGUCCCCCUCCCCAAGCCCAUAAAAGUGCCACCCACCCUUCUUCCGUAGAGCUCCCAGUCAGAGCCCCUACACCUGCUAAACCCACUCCCAACAGGCCCCUCUUCCAUUCCCUCAAGAGCGGUGCUCCUCUGUCAUCACCGUGCCUUCAGCUUCACUGCCUAGGCUAGGACUUGGCACCAGUGUCAGGGAAUCUUCGUUGACAGGACCAGUAACUGUUUAGACAGAGCUAACUAUGACCAGACACCAUGUGAAGUACUUAG